AGAGUUUGAUCCUGGCUCAGGACGAACGCUGGCGGCGCGCCUAACACAUGCAAGUCGAACGAGCGAGAGAGAGCUUGCUUUCUCAAGCGAGUGGCGAACGGGUGAGUAACGCGUGAGGAACCUGCCUCAAAGAGGGGGACAACAGUUGGAAACGACUGCUAAUACCGCAUAAGCCCACGACCCGGCAUCGGGUAGAGGGAAAAGGAGCAAUCCGCUUUGAGAUGGCCUCGCGUCCGAUUAGCUAGUUGGUGAGGUAAUGGCCCACCAAGGCGACGAUCGGUAGCCGGACUGAGAGGUUGAACGGCCACAUUGGGACUGAGACACGGCCCAGACUCCUACGGGAGGCAGCAGUGGGGAAUAUUGCACAAUGGGGGAAACCCUGAUGCAGCGACGCCGCGUGGAGGAAGAAGGUCUUCGGAUUGUAAACUCCUGUUGUUGAGGAAGAUAAUGACGGUACUCAACAAGGAAGUGACGGCUAACUACGUGCCAGCAGCCGCGGUAAAACGUAGGUCACAAGCGUUGUCCGGAAUUACUGGGUGUAAAGGGAGCGCAGGCGGGAAGACAAGUUGGAAGUGAAAUCCAUGGGCUCAACCCAUGAACUGCUUUCAAAACUGUUUUUCUUGAGUAGUGCAGAGGUAGGCGGAAUUCCCGGUGUAGCGGUGGAAUGCGUAGAUAUCGGGAGGAACACCAGUGGCGAAGGCGGCCUACUGGGCACCAACUGACGCUGAGGCUCGAAAGUGUGGGUAGCAAACAGGAUUAGAUACCCUGGUAGUCCACACCGUAAACGAUGAUUACUAGGUGUUGGAGGAUUGACCCCUUCAGUGCCGCAGUUAACACAAUAAGUAAUCCACCUGGGGAGUACGACCGCAAGGUUGAAACUCAAAGGAAUUGACGGGGGCC
rnacentral:rRNA from 1 species